rnacentral:lncRNA from 10 species
GGCACAUCUUGGACAUUAUUCCAAAUAGAGUCAUCCUUUUUUAACCGCUGCAAAGAAUCCCAUCAUAUGGAUGAUCUGUAACAGGGGUCCCCAACCCCUGGGCGAGGACUAGCACCGGUCUGUGGCCUGUUAGGAAUGGGGCCACACAGCAGGAGGGUUUGUAUUCCGAGGCUCAGUUGUCUGGGGCACGAGUGCUUGAAGGAGAAGAGAAGAGAAAAGCACACUGGAAUGCUUGCAUACGUGCUCCGGCAAGUUUGCAUCUGACUCUCAAGGCUGUUUCGUCACCUGAUCUCCCAGUGACUCUGAGAUGUGUGAUGAGUCCAGCUCAAGGAGUGGGGAGCUCAGGGGCAUGCCCACUGCCACUCAGCAGGUGAGUGACAAUCUCAAGUCAGGCAGUAUUCCAGACAGAAACCAAGAUGUGCUCACAGAGAGUUCAUUCACUCAUUCAGCAAAGAUUCAUUGAGUAUCAACUACAUACGGCACACCGCUCUGGGCUCUAUUCACGGUAGUGAACAAAUCAGACCAAAACACAUGCCCACAUUUCCAUGGCAGGAGAGAGACAAUGAACAAAUAAACAUGUAACUAUUGUAUUUCAGGUGGUGGUGUUAAGAGGAAAAGAAACAUGGGUUGCUUCUGAUAGACGGGCAAGGGAAAGCUUUAAUGGUGAAAUAUUUGAGCAGAGACCCAGAGGAGGUGAAGGAGGUGAAUAUCAGUAUGAGCCUUCCAGGCAAAUGGCACAGCAAGUGCAAAGGCCCUGAGGCUUUUUGCAGAACCAAGGACACAGCUGAUGCUUCUUGCUUUAUGCGUAAAAGCCCCUUAGUGUAGAAUUGCCAAACAGAAUACACCGUGAAAGGUUAAGUUUGCAUUUUAGAUAAACAAAGGCUCAUUGUUAGUGUAAGUAUGUCCCUUGCAAUUUGGGACAUAUUUAUUCUAAAAAAAUUAGUCAUUGUUUAUCUAAAAUUCAGAUUUAACUGGAUAGCCUAUAUUUUUUAUUUGCCACAUCUGGCAACUCAACUCAGUGGUUUGUUAUCAUGUGAGCUCUGGAAAUAAAAAUCUCAGGCUGGCUUUACAGGGGCAACUGGCUGGGUGAAAUAGGGGAUCAGAAUUGGGUCAUCCAGGCUUGAAUGCUGGCUUUGUCGUUUGUUAGUCAUGCUUCUUGGCCAAGUCCUUUGACCCCUGGGCCUCCAGAUCUUCAUCUGUGAAAUGGGAGAUACUGCAUCCAAUUUCAGGGCGAUUAGAAGACGAGAGCUAAUCAGCAAAGCUUGGACAUCAGAUAGCUGUGUCAUUCAUGCUAACUCUUAUUAGUUGUUGCAUCAUAUGUAAGAUGAGCUCAAAUCUGUUAAUCUUCCCAUACGAUCUUUUCACAUGAGUUGGGACUAACCUGUUAUAUUUAGAGUAAUGGUUUACCAAUGGGGAGGGAAUAAAGAUAAAACUCGAAGUAAAAGAAAGAAUACAAUUUUUUAAAUGAGGAGAAACACAGUGAAGGAGAGGAGAGAAGGAAGAAAACAACAGAGAUGGAGAGAAGCACGACGUGGGGUGGUGAGGAGUUCCCAGGACUCUGGGAGCGAGGAGCCCAGUCUAAUCCCUGAUUCACUGUAAGACUUUGGGCCCAGCAGUUUCUCUUUGGGUGUCAAUUUCUCUAUCUUCAAGAUGAAGGAAUUGAACCACGCUUCUGCAGGACUUUUGUUGUAACUGACUGGAAACUCCGUACACAAUGGCUUAAACUGAACAGUCCUGGGUGGGGCUGGCUUCAGGGAUAGUGGGCUCCAGGGGCUCACUGAUGCUGUCAGUCUCC